CGCGUAGGCGGCUUGGUAAGUCGGAUGUGAAAGCCCAGGGCUCAACCGUGGAAGUGCAUCCGAAACUGCUUGGCUUGAGUGCCGGAGAGGGUGGUGGAAUUCCGAGUGUAGAGGUGAAAUUCGUAGAUAUUCGGAGGAACACCCGUGGCGAAGGCGACCACCUGGACGGACACUGACGCUGAGGUGCGAAAGCGUGGGGAGCAAACA
rnacentral:rRNA from 1 species